rnacentral:rRNA from 1 species
UACGGGGGGGGUAAGCGUUGUUCGGAAUUACUGGGCGUAAAGGCUCGUAGGCGGCCAACUAAGUCAUACGUGAAAUCCCUCAGCUUAACUGGGGAACUGCGUGUGAUACUGGAUGGCUUGGAUUUUGGGAGAGGGGAUGCGGAAUUUCCAGGUGUAGCGGUGAAAUGCGUAGAUAUCUGGAGGAACACCGGUGGCGAAGGCGGCAUCCUGGACCCGGCAUUUGACGCUGAGGCGCGAAAGCCAGG